rnacentral:rRNA from 1 species
CUACGGGAGGCAGCAGUGGGGAAUUUUGGACAAUGGGGGCAACCCUGAUCCAGCAAUGCCGCGUGUGUGAAGAAGGCCUUCGGGUUGUAAAGCACUUUUGUCCGGAAAGAAAUCCUCUGCCCUAAUAUGGCGGGGGGAUGACGGUACCGGAAGAAUAAGCACCGGCUAACUACGUGCCAGCAGCCGCGGUAAUACGUAGGGUGCAAGCGUUAAUCGGAAUUACUGGGCGUAAAGCGUGCGCAGGCGGUUCGCUAAGACAGAUGUGAAAUCCCCGGGCUUAACCUGGGAACUGCAUUUGUGACUGGCGGGCUAGAGUAUGGCAGAGGGGGGUAGAAUUCCACGUGUAGCAGUGAAAUGCGUAGAGAUGUGGAGGAAUACCGAUGGCGAAGGCAGCCCCCUGGGCCAAUACUGACGCUCAUGCACGAAAGCGUGGGGAGCAAACAGGAUUAGAUACCCUGGUAGUCCACGCCCUAAAUCGAUGUCAACUAGUUGUCGGGUCUUCAUUGACUUGGUAA